UACGUAGGUGGCAAGCGUUGUCCGGAAUUAUUGGGCGUAAAGCGCGCGCAGGUGGUUCUUUAAGUCUGAUGUGAAAGCCCACGGCUCAACCGUGGAGGGUCAUUGGAAACUGGGGAACUUGAGUGCAGAAGAGGAAAGUGGAAUUCCAAGUGUAGCGGUGAAAUGCGUAGAGAUUUGGAGGAACACCAGUGGCGAAGGCGACUUUCUGGUCUGUAACUGACACUGAGGAGCGAAAGCUAGGGGAGCAAACGGG
rnacentral:rRNA from 1 species